rfam:Glycine max cultivar Williams 82 chromosome 16, whole genome shotgun sequence.
UGUUGAAUGAUGUGAAAUCAGACGGAUUCCCACUGAUAUUAUUUGUAUAUGAUUACACAACCAGCUACUACUGACAACA